rnacentral:rRNA from 1 species
GGAGGGUGCAAGCGUUAUCCGGAUUCACUGGGUUUAAAGGGUGCGUAGGCGGGUAAGUAAGUCCGUGGUGAAAUCUCUGAGCUUAACUCAGAAACCGCCGUGGAUACUAUUUGCCUUGAAUAUUGUGGAGGUGAGCGGAAUAUGUCAUGUAGCGGUGAAAUGCUUAGAUAUGACAUAGAACACCAAUUGCGAAGGCAGCUCACUACACAAUCAUUGACGCUGAGGCACGAAAGCGUGGGGAUCAAACAGGAUUAGAUACCCUGGUAGUCCACGCCCUAAACGAUGAUUACUCGACAUCAGCGAUACACUGUUGGUGUCUGAGCGAAAGCAUUAAGUAAUCCACCUGGGAAGUACGAUCGCAAGAUUG